rnacentral:rRNA from 1 species
GACGAACGCUGGCGGCGUGCCUAAUACAUGCAAGUAGAACGCUGAAGGAGGAGCUUGCUUCUCUGGAUGAGUUGCGAACGGGUGAGUAACGCGUAGGUAACCUGCCUGGUAGCGGGGGAUAACUAUUGGAAACGAUAGCUAAUACCGCAUAAUAGUAGAUGUUGCAUGACAUUUGCUUAAAAGUUGCAAUUGCAUCACUACCAGAUGGACCUGCGUUGUAUUAGCUAGUUGGUGGGGUAACGGCUCACCAAGGCGACGAUACAUAGCCGACCUGAGAGGGUGAUCGGCCACACUGGGACUGAGACACGGCCCAGACUCCUACGGGAGGCAGCAGUAGGGAAUCUUCGGCAAUGGACGGAAGUCUGACCGAGCAACGCCGCGUGAGUGAAGAAGGGUUUCGGAUCGUAAAGCCCUGUUGUAAGAGAAGAACGAGUGUGAGAGUGGAAAGUUCACACUGUGACGGUAUCUUACCAGAAAGGGACGGCUAACUACGUG